UGGGGAAUAUUGGACAAUGGGCGGAAGCCUGAUCCAGCCAUGCCGCGUGUGUGAAGAAGCCCUUUUGGUUGUAACGCACUUUAAGCGAGGAGGAGGCUACUUGGAUUAAUACUCUAGGAUAGUGGACGUUACUCGCAGAAUAAGCACCGGCUAACUCUGUGCCAGCAGCCGCGGUAAUACAGAGGGUGCGAGCGUUAAUCGGAUUUACUGGGCGUAAAGCGUGCGUAGGCGGCUUCUUAAGUCGGAUGUGGAAUCCCUGAGCUUAACUUAGGAAUUGCAUUCGAUAAUGGGUAACUAGAGUAUGGGGGGGAAUGGUAGAAUUCCAGGUGGGGCGGUGAAAUGCGUAGAGAACCAGAGGAAUACCGAUGGCGAAAGCAGCCAUCUGGCCAAAUACUGACGCUGAGGUACGAAAGCAUGGGGAGCAAGCAGG
rnacentral:rRNA from 1 species